UACGUAGGGUGCGAGCGUUGUUCGGAAUUACUGGGCGUAAAGGGAGCGUAGGCGGAAUUAUAAGUUAGAAGUUUAAUGUACGGGCUUAACCCGUAAUCUGCUUCUAAUACUGUUUUUCUUGAAUAUGGGAGAGGACGAUGGAAUUCCAGGUGUAGCGGUGGAAUGCGUAGAUAUCUGGAAGAACACCAGCAGCGAAGGCGGUCGUCUGGCCCAAUAUUGACGCUGAGGCUCGAAAGCUAGGGGAG
rnacentral:rRNA from 1 species